AUGAUAGACGGGGAAUUAGCGAUGCCUUGUAACCUGCGAUUCGCUAUAGCAGGGUCGAAUUCCCAUAUGAGGGUUGUUGUUUGUAUAGACUGCCCCAAAAAAGUGAUGUUGAUAAUAGGGUCCUGCGCAAGAUAGCCCUGCGAACCGUGUCAGGUCUUGACGGAAGCAGCACUAAGUAGGUGACUAGCUGUGCCGCGGGAGUGCCUUAUUUGAGUUAACUAUUUGGGUACCGUAUAUGAACGUAAUUCG
rnacentral:SRP_RNA from 1 species